GACGUAGGGCGCGAGCGUUGUCCGGAUUUAUUGGGCGUAAAGAGCUCGUAGGCGGCUUGUCGCGUCGAAUGUGAAAUCUCAGGGCUCAACUCUGACAUUGCAUUCGAUACGGGCAGGCUCGAGUUCGGUAGGGGAGACUGGAAUUCCUGGUGUAGCGGUGAAAUGCGCAGAUAUCAGGAGGAACACCGGUGGCGAAGGCGGGUCUCUGGGCCACUACUGACGCUGAGAAGCGAAAGCAUGGGGAGCAAACAGG
rnacentral:rRNA from 1 species